CCUUAAAAAAUAUGUGACUCCUCACUAAGACUACUUUGGCUAAAGUUUUGCUAAAUUAAAACACAGUGAUGCAUCAUCUCUAAUUUUACUUAGAGUGAUCAAUCCCAUCUUGACUCGCACUUAAACUUCACAUGUGCUUGACUAUACCCAAAAAUCUUCUGUUACUAAAUUAAAAAUUCGAAUAGUCCGGUAUCAAAGCACAGUGAGUUGCUUGUAAGUCACCGAGAUAGCCUCAGAUCUGAGGAACACUUAUACCCAU
rnacentral:lncRNA from 1 species